CCCGCCCGUGAGACACAUCUGGAGGAGAGUGUUCACAGCGGCUGAGGUCUCAUUGGGUUGCUAGCCCCUGCUCACCGCCCUGCUGGCCGGGGCAUUCUGGCGCCCGAGCGUGGGGCAAAGAAGCCUUCUGGACCUAGAAACUCCGCUGAUCGAGGGGGUAGGCCUAC